GACAGAAAGAGACAGGGACAGAGGAACAAGAUGGAGACCACAACAACGAAGAGAGAAAGACAAAGAGGAUCCUCUACAGCCCUCACCUGUGCUUGCCAGGAAGCAAGGGAGUCACCAGAUCAGCAGCUGUUUCCACUCUGACAGACACCUGCCCACUGCCAGCAACAGCCAAAGGCCUCCAGAGGGGGCCUCACCUCAGUGCACUCUCCCUGGGACCUGUGCCCCUCCGUGCAGGAGACCUCCUCCCCCAAGGACAGCCAUCAGUGCAGCCCACGACACACCCCACAGCUCCAGCCCCUCAAAAGCCAGGAACAUAUAUGCCAAAAAUCGUACUUCUCCCAUUAAAAAAAAAAAGUGGUACAUUAACUGGCAGGAGGGAGGGAUGGCAAGGUAGGGGGAGAGUGCAGAGCAUGUGGGCCUCACUAAACCUUUGAGCUGCUUUCAUUCAGGGAUUUCAAUGCUCCAGUUACAAGAGAGUUGUUAACCUCGUCAUUAAAACCUCCGGACCCA
rnacentral:lncRNA from 1 species